rnacentral:lncRNA from 1 species
CUUUUUUGCAGUCCUUUAUAAACAAUGUUUCCAGACAGGACGUAAACAUUCUUAGUGUUGUUCUGUUCUUAUGAGUUCUUUGUGGAGGAUUUUCAAUUUUCUAGUUUGGGUGUAGAUUCAGCUAGUUUUACCUUUGGUGAAACUUUGCACAAAAUUUUGAUUAUGAACAGAGUGGGUGGGGCAUGGAAAUCUAUUAGAAACAGCUCUAGCUUGAUUAUAAGAUGCAAGAGGGAUGGUUGCGAUACAUUGGUUCUGCGGAGAGGAAUAGAGUCCAUGAUGGGGUUAAAAUAUAGGGUAAAGUAUGUGAAGAAAGGUCGCGGUUGA